rnacentral:misc_RNA from 1 species
AGCAGCCGCGGUAAUUCCAGCUCCAAUAGCGUAUAUUAAAGUUGUUGCAGUUAAAAAGCUCGUAGUUGAAUUUCGGGAUCAAUAUGUUGGUCGUGCCUCGGUACGUACUAGCUUAUUGGUUUCUCCUUUCUGAAGAACCAUGAUGUCAUUUAUUUGGUGUCGUGGGGAAUCAGGACUGUUACUUUAGAAAAAAUUAGAGUGUUUAAAGCAGGCUCACGCUUGAAUACAUUAGCAUGGAAUAAUGAAAUAGGACGUUUGAUUCUAUUUUGUUGGUUUCUAGGAUCGACGUAAUGAUUAAUAGGGAUAGUUGGGGGCAUUAGUAUUCAAUUGUCAGAGGUGAAAUUCUUGGAUUUAUUGAAGACUAACUACUGCGAAAGCAUUUGCCAAGGAUGUUUUCAUUAAUCAAGAACGAAAGUUAGGGGAUCGAAGACGAUCAGAUACCGUCGUAGUCUUAACCAUAAACUAUGCCGACUAGGGAUCGGAUGAAUGUUGUAUUUUUUAAUGUA